AUAAAACAUAAGUUUUCGACAUAAGAUAAAACGCGGCGCGGGUGCACUAGGUCGCUCCCAUAGGUCGCUCCGAAACACAUGCUUCACCUCUCCAAAACGCGCGCGGGUUGAUGACGUCGCUCCAGAGGUCGCUCUGCAUCCGCCGCGGGUGAGUGACGUCGCUGCCAUAGGUCGCUCCGCAUAAUGAAAGUCGUCGACAAGAAGUUGGGCUUGGAGCGGGUGUAUCACCUCGGUGCAAGACGUCGCGCCAGCCUUCGAUUCUUCUGGAGCGGGUGUCGCACGUCGCUCCCGUACCCCGCUCUGGUGCUUUGCUCGCCUAAACAGCAUUUUCCACUCCCUUUUUGAUCCCAAAUGCUUCCAAGUACCUCUAAUAUCUCCAAUGGAAACUCCAAAACCUGAUAGAGACUUAUGCAGUGCAAAAAGAGACUAAAAUGCAUGAUUCCUAAUCUAGAUGAUCAAAACAUGCAAGAAAUAGAGGGUUAAAACAAUGUAAUUAUGCAAGA
rnacentral:lncRNA from 1 species